GAUCUGGUGGUGAAAUGUAUCACAUCCACUCUUACUAUGACUUUGUUCGACAAUGCAUGUGUGGGAAUCCCCAGUUCGAAUCUGGGCCAGGUCA